AUUGAACGCUGGCGGCAGGCCUAACACAUGCAAGUCGAGCGGAUGAAGGGAGCUUGCUCCUGGAUUCAGCGGCGGACGGGUGAGUAAUGCCUAGGAAUCUGCCUGGUAGUGGGGGAUAACGUCCGGAAACGGGCGCUAAUACCGCAUACGUCCUGAUGGAGAAAGUGGGGGAUCUUCGGACCUCACGCUAUCAGAUGAGCCUAGGUCGGAUUAGCUAGUUGGUGGGGUAAAGGCCUAACAAGGCGACGAUCCGUAACUGGUCUGAGAGGAUGAUCAGUCACACUGGAACUGAGACACGGUCCAGACUCCUACGGGAGGCAGCAGUGGGGAAUAUUGGACAAAGGGCGAAAGCCUGAUCCAGCCAUGCCGCGUGUGUGAAGAAGGUCUUCGGAUUGUAAAGCACUUUAAGUUGGGAAGAAGGGCAGUAAGUUAAUACCUUGCUGUUUUGACGUUACCAACAGAAUAAGCCCCGGCUAACUUCGUG
rnacentral:rRNA from 1 species